rnacentral:rRNA from 1 species
GACCAGACUCCUACGGGAGGCAGCAGUGGGGAAUAUUGCACAAUGGGGGAAACCCUGAUGCAGCGACGCCGCGUGAGUGAAGAAGUAUUUCGGUAUGUAAAGCUCUAUCAGCAGGGAAGAAAAUGACGGUACCUGACUAAGAAGCCCCGGCUAACUACGUGCCAGCAGCCGCGGUAAUACGUAGGGGGCAAGCGUUAUCCGGAUUUACUGGGUGUAAAGGGCGUGCAGCCGGAGAGACAAGUCAGAUGUGAAAUCCACGGGCUCAACCCGUGAACUGCAUUUGAAACUGUUUCCCUUGAGUGUCGGAGAGGUAAUCGGAAUUCCUUGUGUAGCGGUGAAAUGCGUAGAUAUUAGGAGGAACACCAGUGGCGAAGGCGGCUUACUGGACUGUAAAUGACGCUGAGGCUCGAAAGCGUGGGGAGCAAACAGGAUUAGAUACCCCCGUACC